rnacentral:rRNA from 1 species
UUAGAGUUUGAUCAUGGCUCAGGAUGAACGCUAGCGGGAGGCCUAACACAUGCAAGUCGAACGGGAUUGAGAGCUUGCUCUCAUGAGAGUGGCGCACGGGUGAGUAACGCGUAUGCAACCUGCCUGUAACAGAGGGAUAGCCCAUAGAAAUGUGGAUUAAUACCUCAUAGUCCUGAGAAGUCGCAUGAUUUUUCAGGUAAAACUCCGGUGGUUACAGAUGGGCAUGCGUGACAUUAGCUAGUUGGUAAGGUAACGGCUUACCAAGGCAACGAUGUCUAGGGGUUCUGAGAGGAUGAUCCCCCACACUGGUACUGAGACACGGACCAGACUCCUACGGGAGGCAGCAGUGAGGAAUAUUGGUCAAUGGGCGCAAGCCUGAACCAGCCAUCCCGCGUGCAGGAUGACGGCCCUAUGGGUUGUAAACUGCUUUUAUACAGGAAGAAAAAUCUCUACGUGUAGAGACUUGCCGGUACUGUAUGAAUAAGCAUCGGCUAACUCCGUGCCAGCAGCCGCGGUAAUACGGAGGAUGCAAGCGUUAUCCGGAUUCAUUGGGUUUAAAGGGUGCGUAGGCGGCUUUUUAAGUCAGUGGUGAAAUCUUGCCGCUUAACGGUAAAAUUGCCAUUGAUACUGAAGAGCUUGAGUACAAUUGAGGUAAGCGGAAUGUGUAGUGUAGCGGUGAAAUGCUUAGAUAUUACACAGAACACCAAUUGCGAAGGCAGCUUACUAAACUGUCACUGACGCUGAUGCACGAAAGCGUGGGGAGCGAACAGGAUUAGAUACCCUGGUAGUCCACGCUGUAAACGAUGAUCACUCGCUGUAUGCGAUACACAGUAUGCGGCCAAGCGAAAGCAUUAAGUGAUCCACCUGGGGAGUACGAUCGCAAGGUUGAAACUCAAAGGAAUUGACGGGGGCCCGCACAAGCGGAGGAACAUGUGGUUUAAUUCGAUGAUACGCGAGGAACCUUACCUGGGCUUAAAUGAGGAGUGACAGCUGCCGAAAGGUGGCCUUCUUCGGACACUCUUCAAGGUGCUGCAUGGUUGUCGUCAGCUCGUGCCGUGAGGUGUCGGGUUAAGUCCCAUAACGAGCGCAACCCUUAUCGUUAGUUGCCAGCGGGUCAAGC